GAUGAACGCUGGCGGCGUGCCUAAUACAUGCAAGUCGAGCGAACGGACGAGAAGCUUGCUUCUCUGAUGUUAGCGGCGGACGGGUGAGUAACACGUGGAUAACCUACCUAUAAGACUGGGAUAACUUCGGGAAACCGGAGCUAAUACCGGAUAAUAUUUUGAACCGCAUGGUUCAAAAGUGAAAGACGGUCUUGCUGUCACUUAUAGAUGGAUCCGCGCUGCAUUAGCUAGUUGGUAAGGUAACGGCUUACCAAGGCAACGAUGCAUAGCCGACCUGAGAGGGUGAUCGGCCACACUGGAACUGAGACACGGUCCAGACUCCUACGGGAGGCAGCAGUAGGGAAUCUUCCGCAAUGGGCGAAAGCCUGACGGAGCAACGCCGCGUGAGUGAUGAAGGUCUUCGGAUCGUAAAACUCUGUUAUUAGGGAAGAACAUAUAUGUAAGUAACUGUGCACAUCUUGACGGUACCUAAUCAGAAAGCCACGGCUAACUACGUGCCAGCAGCCGCGGUAAUACGUAGGUGGCAAGCGUUAUCCGGAAUUAUUGGGCGUAAAGCGCGCGUAGGCGGUUUUUUAAGUCUGAUGUGAAAGCCCACGGCUCAACCGUGGAGGGUCAUUGGAAACUGGAAAACUUGAGUGCAGAAGAGGAAAGUGGAAUUCCAUGUGUAGCGGUGAAAUGCGCAGAGAUAUGGAGGAACACCAGUGGCGAAGGCGACUUUCUGGUCUGUAACUGACGCUGAUGUGCGAAAGCGUGGGGAUCAAACAGGAUUAGAUACCCUGGUAGUCCACGCCGUAAACGAUGAGUGCUAAGUGUUAGGGGGUUUCCGCCCCUUAGUGCUGCAGCUAACGCAUUAAGCACUCCGCCUGGGGAGUACGACCGCAAGGUUGAAACUCAAAGGAAUUGACGGGGACCCGCACAAGCGGUGGAGCAUGUGGUUUAAUUCGAAGCAACGCGAAGAACCUUACCAAAUCUUGACAUCCUUUGACAACUCUAGAGAUAGAGCCUUCCCCUUCGGGGGACAAAGUGACAGGUGGUGCAUGGUUGUCGUCAGCUCGUGUCGUGAGAUGUUGGGUUAAGUCCCGCAACGAGCGCAACCCUUAAGCUUAGUUGCCAUCAUUAAGUUGGGCACUCUAAGUUGACUGCCGGUGACAAACCGGAGGAAGGUGGGGAUGACGUCAAAUCAUCAUGCCCCUUAUGAUUUGGGCUACACACGUGCUACAAUGGACAAUACAAAGGGCAGCGAAACCGCGAGGUCAAGCAAAUCCCAUAAAGUUGUUCUCAGUUCGGAUUGUAGUCUGCAACUCGACUACAUGAAGCUGGAAUCGCUAGUAAUCGUAGAUCGGCAUGCUACGGUGAAUACGUUCCCGGGUCU
rnacentral:rRNA from 1 species